CUGCAGGAUCUCCUCCGCCUGGAUGGCGAUGUCCGUGGCCUGGCCCUGGGGGGACGAGGGGGGGGACAGGGACCGUGUUGGGGGGGGGAUGUGGGGGGACAAGGGGGGGGCAGCGAUGCGGCUCCCCCAGCCCUGCUCCCCCCCACACACACACACACCUCCACCGCUGCCCCGGGGCUGCCAGCUCCGUCCCUGUCCCAUCCCGGUCUCCUUCCCAUCCCAUCCCUGUCCCUGUUCCCAUCCCCAUUCGGUCCCCAUCCUCAGCCCAUCCCUGUCCCCAUUCGGUCCCCAUCCCUGUCCCCAGUCCCAUCUCCUCCCUGUCCCCUUCCCAUCCUCAUCCCCACUUCCAUCCCUGUCCACAUCCUCUCCCUGUUCCUUUGCCAUCCCCAUCUACUCCCAUCCCUGUCCCCAUCCUGUUGUCCCCAUCCCACCCCUCCUCUCCAUCCCUUCCCCGUCCCUUUCCCCUUUCCAGCCAUCCACUCCCACCUGUCCCCUCUCCAUUCCCAUCUUGCCGCUGUCUCCAUUCCUGUUCCCUCCAUUCCUAUCCUGCCGUCCCCAUCCCACGCCUGUCUCCAUCCCCUUUCCAUCCUCAUCCUCUCCCCAUCCCAUUCCUGUUCCUGUCCCCAUCCCGCUGUCCCCAUCCUGUCCCUGUCUCCAUCCCUAUUCUGCUGUCCCCAUCCCACGCCUGUCUCCAUUCCCUCUCCAUCCUCAUCCUGUCCCUGUCUUCUCCCUAUUCCUGUCUCCAUCCUCUCUCCAUCCCCAACUGCUCCCAUKCCUGUCUCCAUCCUGUCCCUAUCCUUUCCAUUCCUGCUCCUGUCCCCAUUCUUCUGUUUUUUCUCCAUCCUCAUCCUUUCCUUUUCCCAUUCCAGUCUACAUCCAGUCCCAUUCCUGUCCUCAUCCUGUCUUUGUCCUCUCCCUAUUCCUGUCCCCAUCUUCUCCCCAUCCCUGUUCCUGUCCCCGUCCUCUCUCACCCCCAUCCUUUCUCCAUCCCCGUCCCCGUCCCGGCCCCCAUCCCCAUCCCGCUCCCCAUCCCGUUCCUGUCCCUUUCCCAUCCCGCUCCCCAUCCCGUCCC
rnacentral:lncRNA from 1 species